rnacentral:lncRNA from 1 species
UGUUGAUCCCAUGUUGAUCCCGUGUUGAUCCCAUGUUGAUUUGCUGCUCCUCCCGUGUUCAUCCCAUGUUGAUCCCGUGUUGAUCCCAUGUCCAUCCUGUGUCCAUCCCAUGUUGAUCCCGUGUUGAUCCCGUGUUGCUUUGCUGCUCUACUCUUGUCCAUCCCAUGUUCAUCCCAUGUUGAUUCACUGCUGCGCUCAUCUCAAUCCCCUGUUAAUCCCAUGUUAAUCCCAUGUUCAUCCCGUGUCCGUCCCAUGUUGGCUGCCUGCCGGUCACGUGACCAUCCCAUGUCCGUCCCGUGUUGGCUGCCUACCGGUCACGUGACCAUCCCAC